UGCCAGCAGCCGCGGUAAUACGGAGGGUGCAAGCGUUAAUCGGAAUUACUGGGCGUAAAGGGCGCGUAGGUGGUUUUGUAAGUCGGAUGUGAAAGCCCCGGGCUUAACUCGGGAGUUGCGUUCGAAACUGCAGGGCUAGAGUAUGGUAGAGGGAAGUGGAAUUCCGGGUGUAGCGGUGAAAUGCGUAGAUAUCCGGAGGAACACCAGUGGCGAAGGCGACUUCCUGGACCAAUACUGACGCUGAGAUGCGAAAGCGUGGGGAGCGAACAGGAUUAGAUA
rnacentral:rRNA from 1 species